UACGGGGGGGGUAAGCGUUGUUCGGAAUUACUGGGCGUAAAGGGCUCGUAGGCGGCCAACUAAGUCAGACGUGAAAUCCCUCAGCUUAACUGGGGAACUGCGUCUGAUACUGGAUGGCUUGGAUUCGGGAGAGGAAUGCGGAAUUCCAGGUGUAGCGGUGAAAUACGUAGAUAUCGGGAAGAACACCUGAGGCGAAGGCGGCUAUCUGGUGGUGCACUGACGCUGAGGCGCGAAAGCGUGGGGAGCAAACAGG
rnacentral:rRNA from 1 species